UGCUCUAGUUAAUAUCUCAAGUACUAUAGAAAGAGUAUACAACUUCAAAUUAUGCCUGGUUUGAAUGGGAUCACUUUGAAUUUCUCUUCAUUUAAAUUGCUUUUGUCAAUGGAAUUGAUGUAAACUACAUAUUGAAAAUAAGCCUCACUUCUCAAGUUAAUAUUGGAUGUAUUUUUUCAUAGCCCUUUUAUAAGAUGAUGUAACAUGUUGAGCAAUAAGAAGUUUAGAAUUCCCUAGAAUCUGCAGAUGUGCUGCAAAAUCACUUACCAAAGUCUUCAGUUUAUGUAUUGUCCACAUGGGAAGUAGGUAUAAUGCCUGUGAUUUCAUUGUCCUUUUCCCUUGCUUCAUUGUUAAGAAAUAUGUCACUCACCUCUGCUCUUGCCUAACAGAGAUCACUACUUGUUCUCUUCUGUAACUCAGGAUCUAUUGAUUUGUUGGAGACAUUUGUUUGAUUUCUUUUCUUGGCAGAUAUGAGUUGUUUCUGGAGAUAGUGUUUCUUAUCUCCCAUCUUUGGACAUUUUUUCCCACAGAAAGCUGGACAACUAUAAAAUCGAACAUCCUGUCAGAGGUACCAAACCCUUUUAGGAAAUGGAAUCUUACAUUUAUAUAAAGGAUAACCAGAAAACAAUAUGAAGUAAAUUACAUAGUUAAAAAGUGUUAUAAGGAGCAGAAUGUACACACUGCAGACAAAAUGAAGAACACUUGUUCAAAUUACAAGUUUCAGUCAAGACUUAUUGCCCAGUGAUACUUUUUAUCAUAACUUUGCUGCUAUCAUCAAUGCACACUGAAGGCAGGUACUACCAGAGACUCAGAAAGAACACACUACAUCUGCUGAUCAGAAAUAAAAUUGGAAUGCUAUCUUGCAAAAGGUUGACUGCAAAAAUAAGAGAAAUAGUUUACAAGAUCUUGGUCUGGUUGAACGAUACAUCACUGAAAUUAAUGUAGAGCUUGUAUUGUUUCUUUUUAAAAGUCUGUUUUUCUGUUUUGGAUACACCGACGACUAAGUUUUACACAAGCAUUGUACAUAAAAAUCUUCACUAGCAUGUCCAAUUCAAAGGCAAAAUGUUGCCAAAGUAUUCAGCAACAAAAACAAUUUUAUUAUCUAAUUCAAAAACACUUUUGAGAAAUAUUUGAAGAUAAGGAUUACUGAAGUUUUCUUGGUUUUGCCAAUAUACUACAAGUGUCCUAAA